rnacentral:rRNA from 1 species
GACGAACGCUGGCGGCGUGCCUAAUACAUGCAAGUAGAACGCUGAAGAGAGGAGCUUGCUCUUCUUGGAUGAGUUGCGAACGGGUGAGUAACGCGUAGGUAACCUGCCUUGUAGCGGGGGAUAACUAUUGGAAACGAUAGCUAAUACCGCAUAACAAUGGAUGACACAUGUCAUUUAUUUGAAAGGGGCAAUUGCUCCACUACAAGAUGGACCUGCGUUGUAUUAGCUAGUAGGUGAGGUAACGGCUUACCUAGGCGACGAUACAUAGCCGACCUGAGAGGGUGAUCGGCCACACUGGGACUGAGACACGGCCCAGACUCCUACGGGAGGCAGCAGUAGGGAAUCUUCGGCAAUGGGGGCAACCCUGACCGAGCAACGCCGCGUGAGUGAAGAAGGUUUUCGGAUCGUAAAGCUCUGUUGUAAGUCAAGAACGAGUGUGAGAGUGGAAAGUUCACACUGUGACGGUAGCUUACCAGAAAGGGACGGCUAACUACGUG